AAAUAUUAAACGAAUUUUUUUUUUUAAGUAAACAAAAAUGGAAUAUAUUACUAUGAACACCGUUAUUGUUGAAGCACAAGACGUGCCAUAACAAUUAUGAAAAGAUCAAAAUUCUGUCAAAAUUACAUCAAAGUCAAUCGAUACCCAUACAUAAAAGCGGGCUCGACCACCAAUUAUGUGUAACCAAAAAUUAAAGACUUGUUGUGAAUUCGUGACAAAAAUCAAACCAAUGAAUAACAAUGAUGUGUGGAGCAAAGGAAGUGGUAAUCAAUGUGUAAAGUGUCUCCAAACAACAACAACAAAAACAGACCUAAAUCUAAGUGUAGAACAACACCACAAACAUAAUCAAAACAAUAGAGAUAAGCAAUGAAAGAAAGGAACAAACACACUGAGAUUGUUGACCUAGUUCGGUCCAAUAUGACCUAAUCUGGGGGAGAGAGCAGCUCUCCAACCCACUAUGAUGAAAGUGUUACAAAAAAUUUACAAGAAAAUAGCUUGCAAGCAUACACAAGAACAAGACCUAAUUUCUACUCAUUUUGUGUCAGCCACUCUCAGAAUAUGAACCCUAAAGAGAAAACACAAAAGGAAGCUUAUGAUCCUUCCAAUGGUGAAAUCUCACUACCUAAGGUGUUUACAAAGUUUCCCAAUCCAAGAGAUCCUCACUACAAAGACACUCAACCCUAAAGUUACCUCCUCUGUAAUCCAAGUUUCUCUUACUUCAAGCUCUCCUUCAAAAUCUGCACAAGAACACUUAUAUAGCAGUCUUCAGUAGAUAAAAAUCGUGUCACGUUUUCCAAAUCGUGACACGAUUGGUGCGCACAACCCAAGGUGCGACCAACCUUAUCCUGAAAACGUACCCAACAAGUUUGAAAAUCGUGUCACAUUUUCACAAAAUCGUGCCACGAUUGGUCACCCCUGCAAACCAGCUCACGACAUUGCAAAAUCGUGUCACGAUUUCUCUGUUCUUCCAAACCACAAAUUUGAAGCCAAUUUUCAACAUUUCUCCACCUUGACUACUAAUUGGUGGUGAUGUUAGUUUACCCAUCAACCACCUUGCUGCUUUCUCCAAAAGGGAAUUACUCUUCAACGAACUUGAUCAAUUUCAAGCAAUGCUUGAACCUUGAUCUAGGCAAUGAUUUGGUAAACACAUCCGUCGGAUUCUCUUUCGAUGCCACCUUUACCACCACGAUAUCUUUUGAUUUAACCAUGUCUCUGACAAAGUGCAAGCGAAUGUCAAUGUGCUUUGUCCUCUCAUGAUACACUUGAUCCGAUAGAGAUUUUCUUGUGUCCACAUUACCCGCAUAGUCCGCAUCAACAUACCCCCUCCAAAGCGUCUUCCUCUUGUGUACUUCAAACCGCCCUUCAAAGACCCAUUCAAAUACCUCAACACCCACUUCAAAGCUUGCCAAUGCACAAUACCCAGAUUUGCCAUAAACCGACUUACAAUGCUAACCGCAUAAGCUAAGUCUGGUCUACUACAAAACUUUCCAUACAUGAUGCUUCCAGCCCCACUUGCACAGGGAGUACCUUCCAUCAAUUGUUUCUCAUCCUCGCAUUGAGGACAUUGUUUUAUGGACAACUUUGUGUGGUGGCCCAAGGGAGUGCUCACGGUUUUAGAGUUAGACAUUCUAAACCGCUCCACCACCUUCUUCAAAUAACUAAGUUGAGAUAAGAAAAGUUCGCCUUUGUCACGAUUCCUCAAGAUAUCAAUUCCAAGAACUCUCUUUCCCGGACAAAGAUCUUUCAUCUCAAAUUCACCAUUUAACUUUUCUUUGAGCUUCUUAAUCUCAUCCUUCCUAGAGCUUGCCAUCAAGAUAUCAUCCACAUAUAAAAGAAGGUAGAGAAUGACUUUCUCACCCUUCUUCAACAUGUACACACAAGAAUCUUAUCCGCUUCUCACAAAACCGGGCUUCAAAAGAAAUUCAUCAAACUGAUGAUACCAUUGCCCAGGGAUUUGCUUCAACCCAUACAAAGAUUUCUUUAAAAGACAUACCUUAGACUUGUCUUUCACAAAACCUUCCGGUUGCUCCAUGUAUUGUCUCUUCAAGGUCACCAUGUAAGAAAGCAGUCUUCACAUCCAUUUGUUCAAACUCAAGAUUGAAUUGAUUCACAAUAACCAUAAGUAUCGUUAUGGAACAAUGUUUCACCACCGGUGAGAAGAUCUCAUUGUAGUCAAUCCCCUCCACUUGAGUGAAACCCUUGGCCAUAAGUAUUGCUUUGUACCUUGGACCUUCAACACCCGGAAUACCUUUCUUUUUCUUGAAGAUCCACUUGCAUCCAACUACCCUUUGGUGUUUAGGUAGCUUCACAAGUUUCCAAGUUCGGUUCUUUUCCAAUGAAUCCAUCUCUUCAUUCACCGCAUUUAACCAAUACUUACCCUCUUUGCUAUCAAAUGCCUCUUUGAAGUUUCUAGGCUCCGAGUCUUGCACAUCUUCAGCCGCAUUUAGAGCAAAACAAACCAAGUCCGCAUAACCAUAUCUACUAGGAGCCGUAAUGGUCCUCCUUUCUCUAUCUCUAGCCAAGAGAGAAUCAGGAUCCACUACCGGUUGAGUUCCACUUGUAUCUGAUGUCGAAGCUUCAUCUUCUACAUCAUCUUCUUCUUCACUUGGAAGCUCCACCUCAAACUGAGUUUCCUCCACCAUUGUUUCCGGUACCAAAGUCUCUAGGUCUUUACACUUCAUCCCUAUACGGGUCUCAUCAAAGGUAAUAUCCCUACUAAUCAAGACUUUUGAUCCUCCACUAGAUUCCAAUUUCCACAACUUGUAACCCUUCACACCUUCUGGAUAACGAAUAAAGACACAUUUCAAAGCUCUAGUCUCAAGCUUGUCUUUCUUGAUAUGCGCAUAUGCCAAAGCUCCGAAAACCUUCAAAGAUGAGUAGUCUGCCGGUUUCCCAUUCCAUACUUCCAUAGGUGUCUUGAAGUCUAUUGUCGUUGAUGGACAUCUAUUGAUCAAAUAAGCAGUAGUUGUCACUAGUUCACCCCAGAAACUCUUAGGAAGCCCAACUCCUAGAAUCAUACACCUCACACGCUCCAAAAGGGUCAUAUUCAUGCAUUCAGCAAGACCAUUUUGUUGCGGUGUUCUCGGUACGGUCAUAUGCCUCUUGAUUCCUUUUAACGUGCAAAACUCAUUAAAUUGCUCUGAAAUAAACUCCAAGCCAUUGUCAGUUCUUAACCCUUUUAGAUUAGUUCCCAUUUGAUUUUCUAUAAGAGUGUGCCAUUCCUUAAACUUCUCAAAUGUGUCACUUUUGUUUUUCAAAACAAAGACCCAAACUCUUCUAGAAUAAUCAUCAAUGAUGGAAAGAAAAUAGGAACAUCCCUCAUGAGUAAGAGUCUUGGAAGGACCCCAAAGGUCCGAAUGAACAUACUCAAAAGGCCUACUAGAAUGAUGCAUACCACUACCAAACUUUACUCUAUGUUGCUUGCCUAGUAUGCAAUGCUCACAAAAUUCUAACUUGUCCAAUUUAUCUUUUUUUAGCAAAUCUUGUUUAGCUAGUUCAACUAAACCUCUUUCACUAACAUGCCCCAAUCUCAAAUGCCACAAUUCAGAAUUAUUGAGAUACAACACUAGCCACCGAUGCAUUACCAAUUACUAUGGAACCAUCUAAAAUGUAUAAACCAUUCAUUUUAGACCCUAACCGUAAUCAAUGCAUCAUGCUCAAUUUUACAAACCCCAUGCUCAAUUCUAGUGCAAUAACCUAGACUAUCAAACAUGCUUAGGGAAAUUAAAUUUUGCUUAAGUGCGGGAACCAACCUCACAUCCCUUAAAAGGAUUUCACGGCCAUCAAACAUCUUUAUACGAACGUUGCUCGUGCCUUGGACUUUGCACACUUUGUUAUUUCCGAGUCGAACAACUCCUCCUUAAUUUAGAGCCAAAUCAAAAUAUUCCUUCCUAGGACACAUGCGAUAAGAGCAUCCUGAGUCCAAAAACCGACUCUUCUCCAGUUCCCAACUUGUGACCACUAGUGCACCCGCACUCUCAUAACCAUCUUCAUUUGAUGCCUCCGCAACUUGAACGGACGGACUACCAUCACCCCCUUUAUCCGGACAAUCCUUCUUGAAGUGACCUUGCUUAUGACAAAGAAAACACUUAUACUUUUAUUUGUCAAAGCCUUUGGACCUAGACCUGGACCUCGACUUCCCCUUGCCUUUUCCUCUAUGCUCAUUCCUUCCUCUUGCAACAUUCAAGCCUUCACCACCUUCAUCAACCUUCAAGUCCUUGAACUUGGUCAAUUGUUUGGUUCUCAAAGCCGCUUGGACUUCCUCCAAAGUAGUAGUGCCCUCCUUACCAUAAAGGAUGGUAUCCUUGAAAUGCUCAAAAGACUUUGGUAAUGAACAAAGUAACAACAAAGCCUUAUCCUCAUCUUCCAUAUUAACUUCAAUGUUGGCCAAAUCAUCAAAAAAUUUGUUAAAUUCCGCCAAUGUUGGCCGAAGUUUUUUUUUUUUUUAAGAAACAAAAAUGGAAUAUAUUACUAUGAACACCGUUAUUGUUGAAGCACAAGACGUGCCAUAACAAUCAAGAAAAGAACAAAACCCUGCCAAAAUUACAUCAGAGUCAAUCGAUACCCAUACAUAAAAGCGGACUCAACCACCAAUUAUGUGUACCAAAAUUAAAGACUUGUUGUGAAUUUAUGACAAAAAUCACACCAAUGAAUAACAAUGAUGUGUGGAGCAAAGGAAGUGGUAAUCAAUGUGUAAAGUGUCUCCAAGAAACAACAACAAUAACAGACCUAAAUCUAAGUGUAGAGCAACACCACAAACAUAAUCAAAACAAUAGAGAUAAGCAAUGAAAGAAAGGAACAAACACACCGAGAUUGUUGACCCAGUUCGGUCCAAUAUGACCUAAUUUGGGGGAGGGAGCAGCUCUCCA
rnacentral:lncRNA from 1 species